rnacentral:lncRNA from 1 species
UUCAAAUUCAAUAUGGCGGCCAAUUAAUUAUCUGCUUGUGUGCAGGACGAUUCCUGUUUGUUUAUGCGAUUACCUGAAGAAAUUGUGGAGAAAAUCUUGUGUUAUUUAUGGUUAAGGUCUGACCAAAACCUAGGGACACUCGUUUGUACUUUAUGGAAUAGACUUCUGCUCAGAAUACGCAAUAAACGACAUGAAACGUUUUUGCAAUCUGUAAAAAACGGCAAAAUUUACUGGAGGAAAUGUGCUAAUACUUCACGUGUGAGUCCUGCUCCGAGAUUUUCUCAUGCUCUGUGUGUUUUGAAGGGAAAGCUUUGUAUAUUUGGUGGAUGUUCGUCAACAAAUACUGUCUACAAUGAUUUGUUUGUGUUUUGUUUGGCAGAGGAGAAAUGAUCAAAAGUUACCACAAGCGGAUUUACUCCAGUACCAAGAGAAUGUGCUACAUUAGUCAGUUAUUGCACUAAAAACAGCUGCAUUAUGAUUCUUUUUGGUGGAUGUUGUCAGCCGCCCAGAUGUUCGAUGCCGUCCAAUGGCAAGUUUUUUAACGAUGUACAAAUUUUAAGUUUUGUUGACAAACAUUGGACAGGGAUGAGCUAGGUCUGACGAGAGCUAUACGUGUCCGCGGGCUGGCCAUUCUGCUUCUGUUAUUGGUAAUAUCAUGGUUAUAUUUGGAGGAGCACAGAGUGAAAAAAGGUCAGAUUUGUAUUAAGUUCAGCUCACUCGAUCGGCAUGUUUGACGCCGGCUGCCAGCCAGAAAAUUUGUCUCUGGUUGCUCAGCUGCCAGCCGGGCUGUACUAUAGUAUAUUAUUGGUUCAAAAAAUGCACACAUUUUGGAGACUGGUUCUUGAAUUUUUUUAAUCAGAAAACCAACAAAAUUUCAUUAAAUUUUGAAAAAACAAUCGAACUGCAUCUAAAUUCAUUUUCUUAAUGUCUAUAGCUACCUAUAUAACUGGUAAAUACACAACAAAAACCCCAAAUAUAACAAAGGGCAAAAUUAAAAUUUAUUUAAUUGUGCUCACUUUGAGAUUGAUCCAUAGUUAACUAGAUGCUCAAUCUGAGUGUUGUUAUACCCGCUUGCCACCACACCUUACAUGAUAUAUUUAUUAAGUAAUUGUAUAUACAGUAUACAGGUUGAUCUUAGGCGCCACGAUUUAUGAUUGUGUAAAUAUGUAUGCUAUAUCUGUAUUGAAAUUGUCAAUGUUAUCUGCUGUAUGAACACUGUAGUAUUCAGUACUGCAACUGGGCACAGCCGAGCUGUUAUCUAUUCUUUAAUACAGUAAUAGAAUGCAACACGGCUACCAGCCCAGCCUGUCUGCAGUGUACUAUAGUAUACCACAAUACAGCAUGGCUACCAGCUGAGGUUAUUUAGAUUAACUGUACAUAUUACACUGCUACACUAACAAUGCAAUACGGCUACCAGACUACCAGUUGAGCUCAUCCGUUGAUUACCAGACUAGUUAACUAUGGACGGACAUCAUGCGUUCAAAUCUCAGAGUGAGCGCAGAGGAAUUUUGAUUUUUUUCUUUGCCAUAUUUGUUUUUUUUCUCUUGUUUAUUUACCUGCUAUAUAGUGUAGCUAGUUACAGAUAUUUGGAAGAAGACUUUAGAUGCAGUCUAAUGUAAUUUUUGGCUUACCGAUUUUAAAAAAUUCUAGAACCAGUCUCAGAAAUGUGCAUAUUUUUUGAAGCAAUAAUAUACUAUAGUAUAGCCCGGAUGGCUGCUGAGCAAUCAGGGACAAGUUUUCUGGUUGCAAGCUGGCAUCAGGCACGCUAAUCGGGUGUCCAGCUAGUCAGCUCCAGAAAGUUUUUAAUUUUAUAAUUAAAAGCCUGGAGCCGAUUGUAUAAAAAUGUAGUUCUCUAAGGUUUUUAUUUAUUAUAUAAAGUAUAGUGCUUUAUAGAGAUUUUCAGCACUGAGAAAAGUGAUAAUCUCACAUGUGAGAUUAUUCAUGAUAAUCUCACAUGUGAAAAUUAUCGCUUUUCAAUUAUCGCUUUUCUGUAAAAAUUAUUGCUUUUCAAAGACUGUCCUUUAUGUAACAAACAGAAAAAUACAUGGGUGCUUGGAAAUACCAAAUUUAUUUCUUGUGUUGAACAUGAUACAGGUAACUCACUCGUUCGCUGUGCUCACUCGUGAAAUAUCAUGUUCAACACUCGAAAUAAAUCUGGUAUUUUGUGCACCCAUUCUCUAUUUAUUACACCUGAGCAGGAACAGUUGUAACUACAGACACUGAUCUCUGUACCUCAGUUGGUUGGAGUGCUGCACAGAAUUGCAGGAUUGCAGGUUCCUGCCAGAGGACCUUAGUCUAUAAGUUGCAUUUUUUGCAACCGCUUCUGGUUACUGUAGGUUUAAUAAAUGUAUAAAAAUUCACACUGGAAGUUUCCAUCUACAAAACCCUUCAACAAGUAGUUAUAUUGAGUGUGGUGGCCAAAAUCCUGUCAAUCAUACCUGUUGAUUUUAUUUUUGUGGAGGUAGGCUAUGCCACAUUCUAUUACCCAGAGCUUGGCCUGUUCAUAUGGGCAAAAUUUAUCCCGGUUAGUGAGAAAACUUUUCGACAAGUUUACAAGCGAGGUCUGGCCUUGUAUAAAAAUAAUAUGAAAAGUUACACUGCGUUCAUAUGAGACGAAAGUUUUCCUGUGUACUGAGUUCUUGCUUGUUGACAGGCUAGAUCUCGGUGACUGGGAUGUUUUUUCCCAUAUGAACACAACUUGCCCGCUUAGCGGGAUAUCCUUCUGUUGUGUCAGCGACUUUUGAAUUCAAUUGAUGUUCAGUGCUACGUCACAGCCGGAAAUUUUUCCCAGUAAGCAGGAUAACUUUUACAGUCCAUAUGAACAGAACAAAAGUAUUUGGCUAGUCAAAAAGUUUUCUCGUUAACCGGGAUAACUUCUGCCCAUAUGAACAGGUCCUUACACAAUGUCAACAGAACAUGACGAGGGUUGAGGGGUACGAGAAUGGAUUGCGCUGCUGCAGAUAAAAAUGUAGCCUCUGAACGAGAACAAAAUGCCAAGUGUGCCACUACACUAGAUAACUAGCUCAAUUUUUUGGAGUUGGCAACAACACAGCAAGUAACUUCAGACUUACAUACCUAGUGGCUUGGCUGGCUCACCUCGCAUCACAUACUCUUUGAGUUAGGCAGUUAGCCCACAACUCAAGGCUUAGAUGCCUAGCUUUUUCAUGCUUUUCAGAGUUAUACUGUAGCUAGCUCCAAAUGGUUUUUGGAGUUAGCUAGUAACUGCAGGCUUAGAUACCUAGCUCCUAAAUGAUUUCUGGAGUUAUACCUAUAGCUCCAAACACUUUUAUGGAGUUAGCCAGUAACUCCAGGCUUGGAUACCAAGCCAGUAACUCCAGGUUAGAUAACUAGCUCCUAGAUGAUUUUUGGAGUUAUACCUAGCUUCAAAUGAUUUUUGGAGUUAGCCAUACAGUUACUCCAGGCUUAGAUACCUAGCUCCUAAAUGAUUUUUGGAGUUAUACCUAGCUCCAAACAAAUUUUUGGAGUUAGCCAGUAAACCCAGGCUUGGAUACCAAGCCAGUAACUCCAGGUUAGAUAACUAGCUCCUAGAUGAUUUUUGGAGUUAUACCUAGCUUUAAAUGAUUUUUGGAGUUAGCCAGUAACUCCAGGCUUAGAUACCUAGCUCCUAAAUGAUUUUUGGAGUUAUACCUAUAGCUCCAAACAAUUUUUUGAAGUUAGCCAGUAACUCCAGGCUUGGAUACCAAGCCAGUAACUCCAGGGUUAGAUAACUAGCUCCUAGACUAUUUUUGGAGUCAUACCUAGCUUUAAAUGAUUCUUGGAGUUAUACCCAGCUUCAAGGGAUUUUUGGAGUUAGACAGUAACUCCACAAUUCAUGUUUCAACUCAGUUUUGAAUUACACAAGUUACUUAAGUGUAUAUUUUGGUUUGGAGUCUAAGCCCUUUAGACUUUGGAGGUAGUGUCGCUCCAUAACUUCCUACUAUCUACAGGCAUGCUGUCAAUACAUGCAUUUAUUAGAUUGAUGUAUAUUUAAUAGAUGUAGACAUUAUUAAAUGUAUAAAAUUCACACUCGAUAUUUCCAUCUAUAAAACCUUUUUACAAUCAGUUGCCACUCAAUGGGUUAACACAUGCAGCACUGAAUCUCUGUGGAUGAUUUACUGUAAAAUACAUACUCUCUCGCGAUUUUGCAUGUUAUUACUGUACAUUUUUUUAGCUUGCAAUCACAGAUAAUAUUAUUUUAAUUGUAUGAUAGAUUAUUUCACAUUCUGGUGUUAACCCAAUGUCACUGGGUUGCAUUGCACUAUACUUUAAUACUAUUUUAUUUUAAUAAAAUAGACGCUGUCUGACCAAAAAUAUAUAUUUAUUACAAGCUUUCGGCUACCAAUCUGUAGCCUUCAACGGGUAUGAGUGUAUGAAAUAUGAAACUAUAGUCUAUUAUUGUAUAUACAGAAAGAUUAGCAUAAGUUAUCGAUAAGGGAAAUUUUAGGACCCGGAAAACUCAUGGCAUACAGCCUUAACAACUGAUGCUGACAACAAUUCAUGUCCACUUCCCGGACAAUAUACUGUUCUUAUAAAAAAGCAGUCAUACUUGACAAUACACACUCAUAUUUCAUACGCAAUUAUGCUAAUCUUUCUGUAUAUACAAUAAUAGACCAUAGUUUCAUAUUUCAUACACUCAUACCCGUUGAAGGCUACAGAUUGGUAGCCGAAAGCUUGUAAUAAAUAUAUAUUUUUGGUCAGAGAGCGUCUAUUUUAUUAUUAUGUUUCAUCCUGGCCGCGCAUCUGCCUCUAUUUUUUCAACUAUUUUAUUUUGUCUGAUGCAUGCCAGAGACUAUUUUACCAUCAAGGAGAGAGCAUUUGCACUCAAUGGGUUAAGCAAAUAAACUUCCUAUUUUAUUGGAAUUGCUUCCAAUAAUGAAAUAUCUUACAUAUAAUGGCAGAAAAAAUUGCAAACUGAAGAUAUUAGAUUGUAAAAAAUAAACACGUAUUGCGUAUGAUCGCCAGGUGUGAAAAAAUAUUUUACUUCCUGGGACUCCAAGAGAACAUUGAAACAUUUCGGUGAAUAAUCAAGUAAAUGAACACUUGGAUACACAGUGUUGAUACAAUUGUCUCACUGUGGCACUAACAAAAUAUCACAUUCUAUUUUAACAGGAAAAAAUUUAAGUGCACUGAGAAUCUUAGUAAUUCUUUUAGAAAUAUUUGUAAAUAUUAUUCGAGUGCUUAUCAGGUUUAGGGCAAAUUUUGUGCCCGAGUACACUACACCAACACAACAAAAUAUCACUUUUAGGAAUAUUACAUUUUAGAUAUUAAUUACAUGCAUCAGGGGCAGGGUCUUAGCUAGAGGGCCGUGUUGGCCGUAUUAUCGCGGGCAAAAAUGGAAAAACACGGCUAGAUAAAAUGAACGCGGCUUCAUUACUUUUAUAAGGCUGUGUAGGUUCAUGAAAUAAGGUGUUGCUACUUACAACAAACAUGCAGAAUUUCUUCCUAUUUACGUCGUAAGAAAGUUUGUAAAAUCUACUGUAAUUCUUGAAAUUGGCAAAAGUGAUCCGUGAUGUUUUAAUGUUUUGAUGGAUAAUGGGAACCAUAUGGUGUUAAAAUGGCUUUAAAUACCCCCAAGAGUUGCUGAAAUAACUUACUAUUUCAUUGUCAGUAUGCGAUGUGAGCGUAUGCUCGCCUUGUAUUUGGUUGCAAAGCAUACAACAACCACAGGCAUUGUCUGUUGUUGGCGAGCAUGACUAGUACCGUGAAUUUGGCCAUUCAAGGUAAUUGACAUGGGCACACCCUGGUCAUUUAGAAACACGCCCAAGAUCUAAAAUCCUAGCUAAGACCCUGAUCAGGGGUCUCAUCCUAAGGUAAUUACCGAUGCAAAAAAAGGGCACUAAGUACUAGGGGGCACUACCAUGUUGACCCGAAAAUUUUUAAAAUGAGGUUCAGCCCAGACUGAGUAAAAAUGUAUUUGGCAUACAACAUCUGUUCCAUUAUUCUAUAGUCUAUAUAUUUAUACACUCUCACACUAUUAAGAUGGAUGAAUUUUUUUUAUAUUUCAAAUUAUAAAAAACGUUUUAGUUUUACUCUUGAUCGAUACAGCUCAAUUUUACAUCCUCGGCUCCGUUUAAAUUGCUGUGCUCUUAAUUAUUAUUUAUUUAAAAUAAGCUGCAUUCCGUCACCAGUUUGUAAAUGCGUUUUUUAUUGUGAAUCUGUAAUUCAUUAUUUUCUGUAUUGUCCAAGAUAUGCUGCUCCUAGAUUAAUUCAGCUCUCAGCUGUAUUAGAAAUUUUAGGUGACAGCUGGUAUAGGAAAUCAGACUCAACGAAAGUACGAAUACUUCUAAGUGGUGAAGAUGAAUUGUCAUUAGCUCAAAAUAGAUACAUUUUUUCCAGUGUGCAACAGUUUAUUAGGCCAUCCAGACGUUUUGUUGGCUGUGCUUAUGUAGAUGAAUGUGAUGAAAUAAUCCAGCUGUCUCCUGACUGAUGUUAUUUAUUUAAAUACAACAUAUAAAUAGGCGUAUAAGCCCCCUUGAUGAGCUUAUUAGCUCUUGUGGCACACGUUUCUCAAAAUAUGUUAAAUAAAUAAAAGAUGGAUGCACUUAUUUUAUUGUAUUUCAAAGGUCAUACCUACAGUACAGUGACAUUCUUUCAUUGCUUAGAAUUUUUCCUCUCAAUUUCUCCUUUUAUCUAAAUUUUUACAAUUACCUUUUUUCUUCUUUUUUGGGGAAAUAUUUUGUGGGAACUCGAAAAUUUUCUGGUACACAUGGCCCUGUGCUCCGAUACUUUUUCAUCCCCUGAUACUCGAUACCUACAUUAUUUUGCCAACUAAAGCCAUCAAGUACAAUGUACAGAUUUUUUGAAAUUUCUUUCCGAAAGGCGUCAAUAUGAUAUUCAGCCUUCUUUCAGUUAAGUGACCGUACAAAUUUCGUACAAAUGGCCCGUCCAUAACACCUGUUUUAAGACACACCGGACGCGAUCGGCAACGCGACGCGAUUUUUUAGUUUUUGAAAGUUAAUAAAACAGCCAAUGAGAUCAAAUUUUAAAAGAUAUUUAGACCAAAUAACUCAAAAUGUUACAACAUUAAUUUUCUAAAUAUUUGGAAAAUUUAAACUAGGAUCAAAGUGACAGUUGGUGCUUCGGUGGUGAAGUGGUUAGCGCACUUGCCUUUCACCUCUAAGAUCGCAGGUUCAAAUCUCAAUGAGAACUUCUCAAUGCGACUCGAACCCAGUCCUCAUGUGAAAAGAGUAAAAAGUCAACGCUCUGCCGAAAGUCGUGGAUUUUCUCCGGGUACCCCGUGUUUCCUCCCACAGGGAAAGUUGACAGGGUGCAUGGCUUAGGCACAUCGGUCUGUUUCACGUCAGUCCGGUUCUAUCUAUCUAUUUAUAAUGUAACCAGUCACUGAAAAGCCCUGAUAGGGAGUGUGCUGUGAAAUAUCUGUAUCUGUUGUCGAAUCGCGUCCGGACCUUAAUACGACGAAUUUCGGUCCCGUCAAGUGCAAUUCAAACGAUAGAUAAUGAAGCUUAAUGAGGUUUAUCAUAUUGCAUUUGACGCGACCAAAAUUUGACAGCUUUAAAACAGGCCCAGGAUCAUCAGGCUUGAUGUCAAGCUGGCGAAGCCAAUAAUCAGUAUUUUUUAUAGGUUUUCAGAUGUGUGGUGUUUCAAUCUAGAAGAUAGGAAAUGGCAUCUUCCAACCAUUAACGGAAUUUAACCCAUGGGAAGAUUUGGUCAUUCCCAAGUAAUGUACUCUUGGUAUUUUUUGCUAUCGAUUUUGGAGUUUUAGGAUUGUAGUUUUAUUAUAAACGAACCAACAUUAUAUUUUAAUAAUUCAAACCGAUCAUCAGCAGAUUAUAAGAUUUCCAUAACGCAAACUUACAUGUUGAUAUGAUUAUUUGCGCUAUACAUCAAGAAUCACGUCAGAAUAUUGCUACAAGUUUAAUUUUGUCCUACAUUCUCGAGGAUUUUUCAAAAAAGGGUGUUGUUGCUUUAUAGAGGUUACUUCAUUUAAUGCAGAACAAAAGGCUUGUAACUUUGCAACUAAAAGCCUGUAAAUCUUGCGCGAACAGUUUUUCUAGCCAAGACUUUUUAACUUUCUGUCCUUAAUAUUUGCUCUCUCAAUAAUACUAUAACAUUUCUUUUGCAGGUUACGUUGAACAAUCGAGAUAUUCUAAUCAUGGGUGGCUGUGGACAUGCAAAUAUGGUAUGACAUCAAAUUUUUUGUACUUUAUCAGGGCUUUCAAAAGAAGCCGGCGACGCAAUGUUGCGUUUCGUAAACCGCCAGGGUCAGCAGUAACAAUCA